GCCCGCUUGGCCCAGUGGUAAGGCGUGUCACUCGUAGAAAGUGUGUUAUGUCACAUACGAAGUGUAUGACAAGAUCAGUUGUUCGAAUCAGCUAGUGGGCA